GGUCAGGAUGAACGCUAGCGGCAGGCUUAACACAUGCAAGUCGAGGGGCAUCGGGAGUAGCAAUACUUGCCGGCGACCGGCGCAAGGGUGCGUAACGCGUGAGCAACAUGCCCGUAUCAGGGGGAUAAUCCAUGGAAACGUGGUCUAAUACCCCAUAGUAAUUAUGUAAGGCAUCUUAUAUAAUUUAAAGCUUUGGUGGAUACGGAUUGGCUCGCGUGACAUUAGCUGGAUGGUAAGGUAACGGCUUACCAUGGCUACGAUGUCUAGGGGUUCUGAGAGGAAGGUCCCCCACACUGGAACUGAGACACGGUCCAGACUCCUACGGGAGGCAGCAGUGAGGAAUAUUGGACAAUGGAUGGAAAUCUGAUCCAGCCAUGCCGCGUGCAAGGAAGACGGCCCUAUGGGUUGUAAACUGCUUUUGUAUGGGAGCAAUAAGGGCUACGUGUAGUCCGAUGAGAGUACCAUACGAAUAAGCACCGGCUAACUCCGUGCCAGCAGCGGC
rnacentral:rRNA from 1 species